UCCCUGGUAGUCUACCGGUUAAGAACUUGGCAUUGUAACUGCUGUGGCUUGAGUUCGAUUCCUAGCCCGGGAA
rnacentral:tRNA from 1 species